UACAGAGGUCUCAAGCGUUGUCCGGAUUUACUGGGUGUAAAGGGCGUGUAGCCGGGCUGACAAGUCAGAUGUGAAAUCCGGGGGCUCAACCCCCGAACUGCAUUUGAAACUGUUGGUCUUGAGUAUCGGAGAGGCAGGCGGAAUUCCUAGUGUAGCGGUGAAAUGCGUAGAUAUUAGGAGGAACACCAGUGGCGAAGGCGGCCUGCUGGACGACAACUGACGGUGAGGCGCGAAAGCGUGGGGAGCAAACAGG
rnacentral:rRNA from 1 species